rnacentral:rRNA from 1 species
GGAAUCUUGCGCAAUGGGCGAAAGCCUGACGCAGCAACGCCGCGUGUGUGAUGAAGGCCUUCGGGUUGUAAAGCACUGUCAGGAGGGAAGAAAUACCGUCGGUCAAUACCCGACGGGAAUGACGGUACCUCCGAAGGAAGCACCGGCUAACUCCGUGCCAGCAGCCGCGGCAAUACGGAGGGUGCGAGCGUUGUUCGGAAUCAUUGGGCGUAAAGCGCGUGUAGGCGGGCGGGCAAGUCAGGUGUGAAAGCCCAGGGCUCAACCCUGGAAUUGCGCCUGAAACUGCUCGUCUUGAGUACGGGAGGGGGAAGCGGAAUUCUUGGUGUAGGGGUGAAAUCCGUAGAUAUCAGGAGGAACACCGAUGGCGAAGGCAGCUUCCUGGACCGGUACUGACGUUGAGACGCGAAAGCGUGGGGAGCA